rnacentral:rRNA from 1 species
GAGUUUGAUCGUGGCUCAGGACGAACGCUGGCGGCGUGCUUAACACAUGCAAGUCGAACGAUGAAGGGGAGCUUGCUCCUUGGAUUAGUGGCGAACGGGUGAGUAACACGUGAGUAACCUGCCCUUGACUCUGGGAUAAGCGUUGGAAACGACGUCUAAUACCGGAUAUGACCUGUGACGGCAUCGUCUGCAGGUGGAAAGAAUUUUGGUCAAGGAUGGAUUCGCGGCCUAUCAGGUAGUUGGUAAGGUAACGGCUCACCAAGCCGAUGACGGGUAGCCGGCCUGAGAGGGUGACCGGCCACACUGGGACUGAGACACGGCCCAGACUCCUACGGGAGGCAGCAGUGGGGAAUAUUGCACAAUGGGCGAAAGCCUGAUGCAGCAACGCCGCGUGAGGGACGACGGCCUCGGUUGUAA